UCAUCCCAUACCCUGUCUCUGCCGCAGACACCACCUCUGUCAUCACCACUGUCUCUGCCGCAGACACCACCUCUGCCAUCACCACCACCUCUGCCACAGCCACCCUACGACUUCCAUAACCACUCUAACGAAACACCACCUUACCCUAUAUCUCUAGCCACUUAUUUCACCAAUUUCUCCUCUAUCCAUCUCUGAAACCCUAGGUGGGAAAUUGGUAAAAUAGGUGAGUCUAUAGAAGUGAUUGAAGACAGGAGAGAGAGCAGGAAGAACAAAGAAAGAAUGGGUCGACGCUAUAGAGAAGUAUGAUUUUUUUUGGAAUGGAAUUACAAAGCUAGUCUUCAUCGCUAUAAACCAAAGUGGAGGUGGCAUUUAGGGGACAACCGGGUCUUCGCAGUUAGUGUUUAAUCAUCUGCAUCUAGGUCACGUUAUACGCAGGUGCAGUAGUAGAUGGAGGGGAGGUUGGGCUUCAUGGGGGUGGUUUGCUUCUUCACGUUAUACACUGCAAGCAUAAUUUGGUAGUUCAACAUUCAGGAGGAUCUUAUCAAAAGCUACAACCACCUUUCACUUUUCUCUUCCUGGUGCCAGAAAAACAUGAAAUUUGGAUUACAUGAGGAAAGAUUAUAGAUACUUUGAAACCUAAAUGUGUACAUAAUUAGAAUGAUUGAAGGCUGCCUAAUUAAGUAAAGAUAAACAAAUGGCUGGGUACCUCCUGACUAUGUCCAAGGCAGUGGGGUGGAUGAUCCAUCAGACUUCACUGUCCACCGACGCAAAUAUGGUCCUGCCGAUAUAGUUUCACUUUAAAACGAAGAAGGUACCUGCAACCAA